rnacentral:rRNA from 1 species
GUGUUUGAUGUACCCGUACCGUAAACCGACACAGGUGGAUGAGGAGAGAAUCCUAAGGCCGGCGGGAGAAGCAUUGUUAAGGAACUCGGCAAAAUGACCCCGUAACUUCGGGAGAAGGGGUGCUCCAGAGAUGGAGCCGCAGAGAACUGGCCCAAGCAACUGUUUAGCAAAAACACAGGUCUAUGCAAAACCGAAAGGUGAGGUAUAUGGGCUGACGCCUGCCCGGUGCUGGAAGGUUAAGAGGAGAUGUUAAUCGCAAGGUGAAGCAUUGAAUUUAAGCCCCAGUAAACGGCGGCCGUAACUAUAACGGUCCUAAGGUAGCGAAAUUCCUUGUCGGGUAAGUUCCGACCCGCACGAAAGGCGUAAUGAUUUGGGCACUGUCUCGACAAUGCACCCGGUGAAAUUGAAAUACCAGUGAAGAUGCUGGUUACCUGCGCCAGGACGGAAAGACCCCAUGGAGCUUUACUCUAGCUUGAUACUGGGGUUCGGUAUUGCAUGUACAGGAUAGGUGGGAGACUGAGAAGAUGUGUCGCCAGAUGCAUCAGAGUCGAUGUUGGGAUACCACCCCUGCAGUACUGGGCUUCUAACCUGCAGCCGUGACCCGGCUGGGGGACAAUGUCUGGUGGGGAGUUUGACUGGGGCGGUCGCCUCCGAAAGAGUAUCGGAGGCGCUCAAAGGUUCCCUCAGAAUGGUUGGAAACCAUUCGAAGAGCGCAAAGGCAGAAGGGAGCUUGACUGCGACACCGACGGGUGGAGCAGGUACGAAAGUAGGACUUAGUGAUCCGGUGGUAUGAAAGUGGGAUUGCCAUCGCUCAACGGAUAAAAGCUACCCUGGGGAUAACAGGCUUAUCACUCCCAAGAGUUCACAUCGACGGAGUGGUUUGGCACCUCGAUGUCGGCUCAUCGCAUCCUGGGGCUGUAGUAGGUCCCAAGGGUUGGGCUGUUCGCCCAUUAAAGCGGUACGCGAGCUGGGUUCAGAACGUCGUGAGACAGUUCGGUCCCUAUCCGGCGUGGGCGUAGGAUAUCUGAGAGGAGCUGUCCUUAGUACGAGAGGACCGGGAUGGACUGACCUCUGGUGCACCGGUUGCAUUGCCAAAUGCAUAGCCGGGUAGCCAAGUCGGGACGGGAUAAACGCUGAAGGCAUCUAAGCGUGAAGCCCCCCUCAAGAUGAGAUAUCCCAUAACAUAAGUUAGUAAGACCCCUUGAAGACGACGAGGUAGAUAGGCAGAAGGUGGAAGUGUGGUGACAUAUGGAGCUGAUCUGUACUAAUAGGUCGAGGGCUUAACCAA